rnacentral:rRNA from 1 species
AUACGGAGGGUGCAAGCGUUACUCGGAAUCACUGGGCGUAAAGCGCGCGCAGGCGGCUAUUUAAGUUGGAUGUUAAAGCCUACGGCUCAACCGUAGAACUGCAUCCAAAACUAUUUAGCUAGAGUGUGGGAGAGGAAGAUGGAAUUAGUUGUGUAGGGGUAAAAUCCGUAGAGAUAACUAGGAAUACCAAAAGCGAAGGCAAUCUUCUGGAACACUACUGACGCUGAGGCGCGAAAGCGUGCGGAGCAAACAGGAUUAGAAACCCUAGUAGUCC